ACCAAUCCUGAUUCAGGGAGGUAGUGACAAUAAAUAACAAAUCCAGGACUUCGGUCUUGGAAUUGGAAUGAGGAACCAAUUUAAAUCUCUUAUCGGAGGGAACAAUUGGAGGGCAAGUCUUGGUGCCAGACAGCGGGGUAAUUCCA
rnacentral:rRNA from 1 species